GGGGAUGAAAGGAUUUCGACGGGGCCAUCGAACCAUGAUAAGCGGGUAGCGGCGGGGAACCGCUAUAAACUCUCCAAUUUUUUUAAAGUAAACGACAACAAUCGUUAUACUCUGCAGGCUGCAUAAGCACCCUGCCAUUCCCCUCCGGUAAACUGCGGCCGGAGAGCGGAGUGUCGAUUUAGCAGUGAACGUGCAUGGGGCAGGGUUCCGGGCCCCGUCAUGAACCAUGGAACUACCGAAGGCGGCCGCCUGCUGACCGGCAGCCGUCCGGGGGAAUCCCCAUAGAUCAGCUACACCCGUAGAAAGUUGUGCGCAAGAGGUACUCGGACGCGGUUUCGAUUACCGCCAUCUCCACCA
rnacentral:tmRNA from 1 species